rnacentral:misc_RNA from 1 species
CAUACUCAUCUUCCAAAUCAACAUGUUCAUCAUCAUAAUCCUUUUCCUCAUCUUCAAGAAGCGAAUAAGUUUGGGUGGAUGAUGCUUUUCUGUUUUGCUGUGGUGUAGAUCUUGAAACAAGUGUAGAUGCAACAUUUUUUGCUUUACUUGAUCUAAUGUCAUAGGCAUCCUCUUUAGCACCAACAGCUUCAGCAACCACAUUCCAUGUCAAAU